CGGAAAUGCGCUACUUUAGACUAUAUCGGUGGAAUAAAGUUGUUUCCGUUGUCAGUGCCGGAUAUGUUCCCGCUCCCUGGUUCGUUUCUACGGGUACAAAAACGUGAGCAGCCGUGACUCAGUCGCUGCUCCCGGGCCCGUCUAGUUCGAAGCGCUGGUUAGCAUCAUAGCUAGGCUAACGUUAAGCGCUUAGCAGCAUGUAGCCAAUCAGAGGCAGAGGGGCGGGUCUUCCCUCGAGGCGCUCCCGCACAUGCGCAGAACAGAUUGGGCGUCUGGAACAGAUCGGUCGCUGACAGCUUCUGUGUGAUUAUUUUAAUACCAUCAUAAGACUGACCAGGACUCAGUACGUCUGAGGAGAAGAACUCUUCAACAGACAUAUAUGGACUUUGUGACAAGGAAUGGAGGAUGGAAGGUGGAGGUUCCUCUAGAUCUGGUUUGUUGCCUGAGAAGAAGUCAAGAGGUCUCAUCAUGAUUUCAGGAAGUCUUCGUCACAAAAGGGACAUCUCCCUUAAAACGCGGCCAGAUUUCUAGCGGCCCAGAACGGGUGAACCCCCCCCCCCCCUGGCUCCAGAGAGGUCUCCGGACUCCUCAAGAUGUCUGAGUUACCGAGGUCGCCGUCAGCAGCCGGCAUCCUGCUGCUGCUUCCACUUUCUAAUCCUGCACCGCUUUCUGUUGAGAAAUAAUCUCUUUCAACCAAUUUAUUCAAGUUAAACACCAAUAAUGAUUUCUGUAAUUAUGAAACCUGUUUCAAGUUUAGCAGACGAUACGAUUUGGUUUACACAUGCGUACAUCAAAUCGUACAUAUUCUAUUCCUUUUAUAAAAAAGGAUAGAAUAAAGAAAAAAUAGAAAACUAUACAUGGAGAUGAAAUUUACAACAUUUUAAAUCAUAUACUAUAUUACAUUUAUAUUAUGUAUUAUUAUGUAAUCACAUAUAUUAUUCUGGUGUACACUUUUGUCUAGACUACACUUGCUGGCUCACUUUACCUCGUAACUUUGUCUUUAAUUGCUAUUGUUACGUUUUUUUUUGACUUGGGGUAUAUAUCUCUUUUAUAUAUUGUGUAUAUAUAUAUACGUAUAUUUUCAUUUUAAACUUUUGAAGAUACCAACUUGGGGUUGACUAACUCACUCUGCUUAAGCCUCAUAUUUACUUCAAAUAAACCUUGAAUACAUUUUUUUAAAAUUUAGAAAUAUAAAUUAGCACAAAAUGGAAAAAAGUAAAAUACAAAUACUUCAACAAUAGUGUGAGUACAUGUGAGUUCUACUUACAGUCCACCACUGGUUUGAUAACACAAUGUAUAAAUCAACAUGCAACAAAUAAAUGUGAUGUAAACAUGGUGAAUGUAAAAUGUGAAUAAAGAAACAGACACGUGAUUUGACUUUAUUUUCUAUGUUCUACUUUGUUGUGUUUUCUUCCUCAUUAAACAUAACCUGUCUAUUUAACAGCAGGGGCAUAAGAAGUGCAUUUAUAUAAAUAGGGGAUUCCGUUGCCGGUGUUAACUCUUUAUAUGCUAAAUGUGUUACUAAUUUUACAUUUCCCUAACUUUAAACAUAAAGUUUACAAUACUAAUCUGCCUCACCUUUUAAAAAAACAAUCCACUUUUGCUAUUAUUGCAUAAAUGAAACAACAUCUUGUCACCACGCCACCCCCUCCGGCCCGAGUUGGUCUCGUCCGUGACUCGACAGCAUUAAACGCACGUGUUGGGUGUGUUGUGUUGAGGAUUGCAGCGAUAUUACAGCAUUUAGCGAACCUCCGCGCUGUCACGUCACCGGUUACACUUUAAUCACAACAGCGACAAAAGCGACAAGUGUCCCAGUCAAUGAGAAACACCGUCACAAGCAGAGUAACGGCAGAAAACACUCGAGGUGUGGAGGGGUGACACGCGUGUUAGCGUGGCAGCAGACGGUUACCGUUCACCGGAC